UCCCCGAUAGCUCAGCUGGCAGAGCAACGGACUGUUAAUCCGUGGGUCGCUGGUUCGAUCCCAGCUCGGGGAG
rnacentral:tRNA from 1 species